GUUAGGCAUCCACCCCUCCCCUGUGGCACUUUCAGCUCGACUUGCCUCGGCAACAGGCGUUCUCCUGUGGUGUGAUGGAAGCUCCACUGCGUGACGAAAGCGAUGCCGACAACCUGUAGUAGCAUACCCAACCAUCCUCUGAUGACAAACGUCUCUUACCCGGCAUGCACCACCCACGAACAUGCGAUGGCUUCAGGUGGAGCCUAGCAGAACUCGGGAACGACAACUAAG
rnacentral:misc_RNA from 1 species